CCAUACUAUAGCUCAGUUGGUUGAGCAAGGCACUUCCAAUGCCAGAGUUGUGGGUUUAAUUCCCACCGCAGGGC